AAGCCCAUGGAAGUGAGGGGAAUUCCUGGAGGAUUGAGCUCCAGAUUUCUGAGCCAUGGGUGUUCCUUCCAGGCCAGGCCACCCUUGUAUUACGUGCUGCCUGCCUCCCACCCAAAUUAGUGGCCCAAGGCCACUUAGUUGUGGUGACCCACCUCUCCCCCUCCCCCUCGGGUUUUUGCAUCCUUAUCACCACCACGUUGGCUUUGGUGCACACAGGACAAGCUAAAUGAGCAGUGCCUGAAGUAAGACCACAAACCUUCCCCACAGUGGCCACUGUACCCUCUCUGGGCAUGAGCCCUUCAAGUAACACUGUGUCUGCGUCCCUGAGAAGCUGUUAUUUCACACGAUCUUGCCAGAGAGGGGGCUGAGGGCACUACUGUGGGUCUAAUGAAGGCCAGGUGAAGCUUACUUAGCACAUAAUGGGGAAAAGGCUAUAAUCCAUCCACCUUCCUCUGUAUGUUCCAGCUCUGCAGAUACUGUUGGCUCCUUGUUUCCCUGUAGUCUCAGAAAACCAGGGACAGUGAGGGGAUGGUGGAGGCCAGGAAGAAUGCUAGGUAGGCUACAACUCUGUGGGACCAGUUGCUCCUCUCUGCCUUGUUGCCACUUGGGACCCAGCACGGAGCCCAAGGAGAGCCCACAGCUAGCUCUUUCUUCUCUGCCUUUACUCCUAGAGUCUGCUCACCUCAGGCGAGGCUCCUACUGUGGCUUCCUCACCAGCCAUGGGCAGGACAGUAGUGUCGCAGUAUGGUGCCUCCUCCAUGAAUGAAGGAUGGAGUAGCCCAAGCUGGGCCCAUUUCUGUAUCAUGGCACCUGGACCCUAGGGUCACUCCAGCAUCCCAAACACCCUUUUCUGCUUGGCUGAGAUAGGUCCAUCUCUGCUGGGCAUUGGAACACCUUGCCAUUGUCACUUACAGGGAAGCUUCAGUGAAAUUGAAACCUGCCCCAGGUGUGACUGGUUUUCCACCACUGUCAAUAGGAGAGUUUGCAUGAGCAGCCACCCAUUCAUUCUUCAGCGUCCUAUGCCAUAGUUACUGCGUUGGAUUCAGCAGCUAGAACUCCAUCAUGUAUACCAUGUAAUAUUGUAAAUUCUAAAUACAGGAUUUUCAGAUUUUAUUUAUUCGUGAGAGAGAGGAAAGAGACAGAGGCAGAAGGAGAAGGCGGCUCCCCGUAGGGAGCCCGAUGCAGGACUCGAUCCGAGGAUCUGGGUAUCACGACCUGAGCAGAAGGCAGACACUCAACCACUGAGCUACGCAGGUACCCCUGCAUACCUAGAUUUAAUAGCACUUAGCAUAUCACCACAUUGGCUUUACUCCAUGGAAUUUGUCAGAAUUAUUUGAGAGUAAACUUCAGA